rnacentral:rRNA from 1 species
GAUGAACGCUGGCGGCGUGCCUAAUACAUGCAAGUCGAGCGAAUGGAUUGAGAGCUUGCUCUCAAGAAGUUAGCGGCGGACGGGUGAGUAACACGUGGGUAACCUGCCCAUAAGACUGGGAUAACUCCGGGAAACCGGGGCUAAUACCGGAUAACAUUUUGAACUGCAUGGUUCGAAAUUGAAAGGCGGCUUCGGCUGUCACUUAUGGAUGGACCCGCGUCGCAUUAGCUAGUUGGUGAGGUAACGGCCCACCAAGGCAAUGAUGGGUAGCCGGCCUGAGAGGGUGAACGGCCACAAGGGGACUGAGACACGGCCCUU